rnacentral:rRNA from 1 species
UACGUAGGGUGCAAGCGUUGUCCGGAAUUAUUGGGCGUAAAGAGCUCGUAGGCGGUCAGUCGCGUCUGCUGUGAAAACUCGGGGCUUAACCCCGGGCCUGCAGUGGGUACGGGCUGACUAGAGUGCGGUAGGGGAGACUGGAAUUCCUGGUGUAGCGGUGAAAUGCGCAGACAUCAGGAGGAACACCGGUGGCGAAGGCGGGUCUCUGGGCCGUAACUGACGCUGAGGAGCGAAAGCGUGGGGAGCGAACAGG